CCGUUGUUACUUGUUGAGUACGCCCCUGGCGUAGCUGCGCAUCUUCCAUCCAACAAUCUGGCCCACUCAUACCAGCCCAACCAGGAACAAUAGAGCGAACAGAAGACAACCCCACGUUGAAUUAGAUGUUGUGCAAACCAAGAAAUUAACUAAAUCUAAACAUAACUUUAUUGUAUAUUUACGUUGAUUUGUAACGUGGCAACUUAUAGUAGUGCCGGCU